rnacentral:ncRNA from 2 species
UCACGGAAGUUCCCUUCGGGCGCCCGGACAGGGUAACGGGAAGAUGGUGCGAAUCCAUCGCUGCCCCGCAACUGUGACCGGCGACGAAAUCCGCAACGAGGCCACUGGGGAGAAAGACCCCCCGGGAAGGCGCGGAGAGUAGGCUCGCAGCCGGAAGCCAGGAGACCGGCCCGACAGGGAGUUUUCCC